UGUUUUCUAAAUAGGAGUGCGAAUCCGCCGAAUUUAAGCAUAUAAUUAAGCGGAAGAAAAGAAAAUAACAAUGAUUCCUUUAGUAACGGCGAGUGAACAAGGAAAAGCUCAAGCGGGUAAUCUGUGUGUCUUUCUCCUUUUUUUUUUAAAAGGGUUUUAGCGCAAAGAAUUGUCGUGUAAAAAUACUAUAGUAACUUUUUGGUAACUGUAAAAAUAAAGCAUAUUUUCCGAAACGAGGUGGAAUGCCUCUCCCAUAGAGGGUGAAAGGCCCGUAGGAAAACAUAUGAUUUAGCGUUACUGGGAGAUCUCUAUAUGUAAAGAGUCGUGUUCUUUGAGAUUGGAGCACAAAUGCGUGUGAUACAUUUCACAUAAAGCUAAAUAUGUGUAGGAAACCGAUAGCAAACAAGUACCGUGAGGGAAAGAUGAAAUAGUACUCAGGAAUGAGCAUUUAAAAAGUACCUGAAAUCGUUAAGGUGGAACGGAUUAAGAGAGAAAAAAAGUAAAUGCAGUCAUCUAAGAUGUUGCAGCAAAUAUCAUAAGUUAACUGCUUUAUUAAAAGAAACAUCAGUAAAAAGUUUACAGAUCUAUUCGGAUAAAACUGUUGUUGAAAAAGCAUUUAAUUUUCUACCCUAGGGUAAAAAAAUUAAUAGUCUUUUUCACAUUAUCCUUAUUUUAACAAUAGGAUAAAGGGUUUUAUAGAAAAUCACGAAAUAAAAAUAAGUGAUAGAUAGUCCAUUUUACUGAGGGUAUACGUACAAAUGUGUAUUGCUCGUAAAAAAAAAUAUUCUUCGUGAAUAUUUCUUUUACAGCUGCGCAUUUUAAGUUGUUUCUAAAGAAUACUCUUUUAACCCACUCGUCUUGAAACACGGACCAAGGAGUCUAGCAAAUGUGCGAGUGUAUAUGAUAUAUUAAACAUUAAAGUACGUGAUUAACGUACGGUUUUUAUACGCAUAAUUAAUGUAAUAUGUUAUAUUUUGUAGAAUUAGAUGAUAAUUGCAAAAUUAUCGCUAACGCAUACAAUACCGGUGGGCAACUUUUACGCCUUAUUGAGUAUGAGCAUAUUUGGUAGGACCCGAGAGGCUUUGAACUAAGCGUGGUGAGAUUGAAGUCAGACGAAAGUCUGAUGGAGGAUCGAAUUGAUACUGACGUGCAAAUCGUUCAUUUCAAUCACGUUUAGGGGCGAAAGACUAAUCGAAAAGCCUAUUAGCUGGUUAUUUUCGAAAGAUCUCUCAGGAUCGCUGGAGUUGAUUGUUAUAAUUUUACCAGGUAGAGACAAUGAUUAGAGGACUCAGGGAAUUGAAUUUCCUUGACCUAUUCUCAAACUCCCAAUGGGUAAAAAGGAUUAAAAUAUCUUAGAUGUAUUUUGUCCAUUCAAAUAAAAUAACUCCAAGUGGGCCAUUUUUGGUAAGCAGAACUGGCGAUGAGGGAUGCUCCUAACGCUUGGAUAAGGUGCCUAAAUAUUCGCUCAUUAGAUCCCAUAAAAGGUGUUGGUUCAUUAUGACAGUAGGACGGUGGUCAUGGAAGUCGAAAUCCGCUAAGGAGUGUGUAACAACUUACCUACCGAAUGAACUAGCCCUGAAAAUGGAUGGCGCUAAAGCGAAUUACCGAUACCAGGCCAUAGAAGGGUGAGAAAGGGACAUGCUUCGGUGUAGUUCUUUUUAGGAACCUUCUAUGAGUAGAAAAUCGUGGGGUUUUGUGUUGAAGCGAAAUACGUGAGUUUUCGUGGAACAUCUCCCUAGUGCAGAUCUUGGUGGAAGUAGCAACUAUUCAAAUGAGAACUUUGAAGACUGAAGUGGAGAAGGGUUUCUUGUCAACUGUGUUUGUACAAGAGUUAGCCGUUCCUAAGAGACAGCUGAAAAGCGUUUAAGAUAGGGUAAUAUUGUAUGUAUUUUAUACAUGCAGUAGGGUCCCUGUUCUCAAAAGGGAAACAGGUUUAUAUUCCUGUGCCAGUACAAAUCUAUGGGUUAAAUUUUUUUAAGAUGGCAACAUAAAUACAAAUGAACCUCUUUACAUAGGUUUUACCAUCGGGGUGCGUUAUCUUUGCACUUUACCUUUAUAGCACACCUUGGAAUCAAUUUACUUGGAGAAGAGGUAUGUUGAAGUCAAAUUCAGACAUAAUUGUUUUAUGGGAACUUUUUGUUCUCAUUUACAAUUAUCUGUUUUUGUAGCAAUAGUAAUUCGUUUUUAUGAAUUAUUCGAUUCGGUAUAAACUAUCCUUGAAAAAAGGGGGGAACAUCAAAUCAGGGGGGGGAAUAAGAGUCUCCUUACAAGUGUUCCAGCAAUCGUAAAGAUUGCUAGUUCGCUUGUAAAAAGACUCUUUUCUCUUUUUUGUUUUGUAACACUCUAAUUUGUGAAAAGAGCGUACCAACAACCGCAUCAGGUCUCCAAGGUUAGUAACCUCUGGUUAAAUAGAAAAAAGUAAGUAAGGGAAGUCGGCAAAUUAGAUCCGUAACUUCGGGAAAAGGAUUGGCUCUGAGGACAUUUAGAAUGGAAAAAGAAA
rfam:Plasmodium coatneyi strain Hackeri chromosome 5, complete sequence.